UCUCCGUUGGUGAACCAGCGGAGGGAUCAUUACAGGACUCGCAAGACUCCUACAACCCUGUGAACUUAACUAUAAGCACGUUGCUUCGGCGGGUGUCUCGGAGGGGGUUCUCCGUCCCCGAGACGCUAAACCCGCCGGCAGCCUACUAUACUCUGUCUCUUUGCGUUGGCAUCUCGAGUACAAUCAAACAAGUUAAAACUUUCAACAACGGAUCUCUUGGUUCUG
rnacentral:misc_RNA from 1 species